UUUGCCUCUGUUGUAGCAUCUGGUGUUGGUUAUAAUGCAGUUUGGUACAACGACCCAGGGCUCCAGAAGGAAAGCAAACGUCAAGGAGGUUAUGCAGAGACAUUUUCCUCAGUAUGUAUUGCUCAUACCCACCUAGAUGUCAAAGAAGGAGAUUCACAGGGAGUCAGGACUCCAGAAUGUACGUUUGGCAGUACCUUCAAGAAAGCAACGUUUCUCUUGAUGCACCUGCUCUGAUAAUUUGCUCAUCUGACUACACAAAUGCGCCUGCAACUGAUAGGAGGGUCCAGUUAUGCUGGAUUAAAGAUUCCAACGUAGUAGAGAGCCUGGAACCUUCCCAGAGUUUCUCCCGCUUUCAGAAGUCACAAAUUCAGAUUGACAAGAGCAUUUCUAAAAACUAGAGUCUUGGCGUUUGUCUAGCUUCAGGUAAAUGAUGGUGGUGGUCGUUACUGUGAGAGUUUGAAAGUCACAUCUCUUGCUCCAGAAUGCACUUCAUGAAAGGACACUGGACUAUUAUAUACGCACUGCCAACAUUUGUGUCUGGACACUUCUCUGUGGAGGGCCUCCCUGUGCAUUGCAAGAUGGUGAGCAGCACCCCGACCUCCACCCGCUAGAUGCCGUAGCAGCCCCCCUCCAGACGAUACACCCAAAACGCCCAGACGUUGUUGACUGGCCCAUCGUGGGCAACCCUGCCCCAGGUGAGAACGAACCCCCGUGUUGGAGAGAUGACAUUGUUUCUUUUGAUUCUGCUCUUAGGGAGACUUGUUUUCCUUUUCUCACAUUUCUCAUCAUCCGAAAGCUUCCUACUCUCACUUCCCAGAAAAUGUAAAUUCCCUGAGAACAGGAAGCUUGUCCAACUUGCUUAGCAUACUCAGAGCUUAUCAGCUUUAGUAAAUACUUUGUGAAUAAAUGGAUAGAAACAAAAUCAAAAUAAAUCUGCUCGUGCUUUAUCUGGGUGGAUAAAACACGUGAUUUCAUUAACAAUAUGUUUAAAUCUAUGCGAGUUAUUCAGCUUUGUAUCAGAUGGAAUUUUAUGGAUUAAUUUUACAAAUAAUAGAAAUCUUUCACUUUUACCCAGUGUCCUGUCUCCUAAUUGGGUUAGAAACUCAUCUAAUGACCAUUGUAUGCAAGAGAAAUA